rnacentral:rRNA from 1 species
CCUACGGGAGGCAGCAGUGAGGAAUAUUGGUCAAUGGGCGGAAGCCUGAACCAGCCAAGCAGCGUGCAGGAUGAAGGCCCUGCGGGUUGUAAACUGCUUUUGUACGGGAAUAACGCGCCUUACGUGUAGGGCUUUGCAUGUACCGUAUGAAUAAGGACCGGCUAAUUCCGUGCCAGCAGCCGCGGUAAUACGGAAGGUCCGAGCGUUAUCCGGAUUUAUUGGGUUUAAAGGGAGCGUAGGCGGCCUGUCAAGCGUGCUGUGAAAUGUCCGGGCUCAACCCCGGCCUUGCAGCGGAAACUGGCGUGCUUGAGUUGGAGGAAAGCAGGCGGAAUUCGUGGUGUAGCGGUGAAAUGCUUAGAUAUGACGAAGAACCCCGAUUGCGAAGGCAGCUUGCUGCAUCGGCACUGACGCUGAGGCUCGAAAGCGCGGGUAUCGAACAGGAUUAGAUACCCGAGUAGUC